rnacentral:rRNA from 1 species
UCGAGCGAGCAGAACCAGCAGAUUUACUUCGGUAAUGACGCUGGGAAAGCGAGCGGCGGAUGGGUGAGUAACACGUGGGGAACCUGCCCCAUAGUCUGGGAUACCACUUGGAAACAGGUGCUAAUACCGGAUAAGAAAGCAGAUCACAUGAUCAGCUUUUAAAAGGCGGCGUAAGCUGUCGCUAUGGGAUGGCCCCGCGGUGCAUUAGCUAGUUGGUAAGGUAAUGGCUUACCAAGGCAAUGAUGCAUAGCCGAGUUGAGAGACUGAUCGGCCACAUUGGGACUGAGACACGGCCCAAACUCCUACGGGAGGCAGCAGUAGGGAAUCUUCCACAAUGGACGCAAGUCUGAUGGAGCAACGCCGCGUGAGUGAAGAAGGUUUUCGGAUCGUAAAGCUCUGUUGUUGGUGAAGAAGGAUAGAGGUAGUAACUGGCCUUUAUUUGACGGUAAUCAACCAGAAAGUCACGGCUAACUACGUGCCAGCAGCCGCGGUAAUACGUAGGUGGCAAGCGUUGUCCGGAUUUAUUGGGCGUAAAGCGAGCGCAGGCGGAAGAAUAAGUCUGAUGUGAAAGCCCUCGGCUUAACCGAGGAACUGCAUCGGAAACUGUUUUUCUUGAGUGCAGAAGAGGAGAGUGGAACUCCAUGUGUAGCGGUGGAAUGCGUAGAUAUAUGGAAGAACACCAGUGGCGAAGGCGGCUCUCUGGUCUGCAACUGACGCUGAGGCUCGAAAGCAUGGGUAGCGAACAGGAUU